GACAGCUAUAGACAAGUAAAAGCUUCAGAGAAUCACUACUUUGGGCUGAAACAGAAUGGAUCACAUUCCUUAAGUGUGUGUGGCAUAGCACAGGAGGAAAGGUAACAUUGAAUAGAACUCUGUUCUGCACAGUCGCCUGUAACUUUGUAUUAUGAACACCUUGACAGAGGUGGAUGGAUUAGUGUAUUUUCUGUAAAAUCCAGCCAUUGCAAAGGCCUCAUCUGAACGAUGCUGAGUUGCUCUCAAUUUCUACUGAAGGCUGUGGGGCAGACGGAUCUGAUUUUCAUCCUCAUGAGUCCAGAGCAGCUCUACUUAUUAAAAAAAAUAAUUGUUCCAGAUCAAGAAGGAUGCAAAUGGAGUCAAAAUCUGACAACACUGGGAUCAGCGCCAAUGUUCUCAGUUUCUCUUGGCGUCUCUCCCUGCCCACGGUCAUUUUCAUCACAUGUUUCCAGACACCUGUGUCCUUUUUGAAAUAUAGUGACAAAACUGCACAUGAUAUUCCUGGUGAAGAGGAACUGUGGACAUCUGCAAUGACAGAACAUUGUCCAUAUUCUCCAUCCCUCUUCCGCCAAGCCUUUUGUUUGGCACCGCAGCCUGCUAGUUCAGUCAUGGGAGCUGCAGCCCCUCAACAAAUCAAACUGCUGCUUCAAAGAAUUAAAAUAUGGAUUUAGGAGUCUGUCAAUUUUUUUUAUAA